rnacentral:rRNA from 1 species
CUACCCGGGUAUCUAAUCCCUUUUGCUCCCCAUGCUUUCGUGCCUGAGCGUCAGCAAUUGUCCAGGAAGUCGCCUUCGCCUCUGGUGUUCCUCAUGAUAUCUACGCAUUUCACUGCUACACCAUGAAUUCCACUUCCCUCUCCAAUGCUCUAGUCAUGUAGUUUCAGACGCAGUUCCGGAGUUAAGCUCCGGGAUUUCACAUCUGACACACACGACCGCCUGCGCACCCUUUACGCCCAGUGAAUCCGAAUAACGCUUGCAGUCUCUGUAUUACCGCGGCUGCUGGCAC